rnacentral:rRNA from 1 species
UACGUAGGGAGCGAGCGUUGUCCGGAAUUACUGGGUGUAAAGGGAGCGUAGGCGGGACUGCAAGUCAGAUGUGAAAUGCCGGGGCUUAACCCCGGAGCUGCAUUUGAAACUGUGGUUCUUGAGUGAAGUAGAGGCAAGCGGAAUUCCUGGUGUAGCGGUGAAAUGCGUAGAUAUCAGGAGGAACACCGGUGGCGAAGGCGGCUUGCUGGGCUUUUACUGACGCUGAGGCUCGAAAGCGUGGGUAG